rnacentral:rRNA from 1 species
UACGGAGGGUGCAAGCGUUAUCCGGAUUUAUUGGGUUUAAAGGGUCCGCAGGCGGACAUGUAAGUCAGGGGUGAAAUCCGGCAGCUCAACUGUCGAACUGCCUUUGAAACUGCAUGUCUUGAGUAAUGAUGAAGUGGCUGGAAUGAGUAGUGUAGCGGUGAAAUGCAUAGAUAUUACUCAGAACACCAAUUGCGAAGGCAGGUCACUAACCAUUAACUGACGCUGAGGGACGAAAGCGUGGGGAGCGAAC